GGUCCUAGCUCAGCGGUAGAGCAUCUGCCUUGCAAGCAGAAAGUCCCAGGUUCAAUAUCUCGCAGCAUCU